rnacentral:rRNA from 1 species
UACGUAGGGCGCAAGCGUUGUCCGGAAUUAUUGGGCGUAAAGGGCGCGUAGGCGGCCAUGCGUGUCUUCCGUGAAAUCCCUCGGCUUAACUGAGGACGUGCGGAAGAAACUGCAAGGCUCGAGUCCGGGAGAGGGGGGUGGAAUUCCCAGUGUAGCGGUGAAAUGCGUAGAUAUUGGGAGGAACACCGGUGGCGAAGGCGGCCCCCUGGACCGGUACUGACGCUGAGGCGCGAAAGCGUGGGUAGCAAACGGG